rnacentral:rRNA from 1 species
AUUGAACGCUGGCGGCAGGCCUAACACAUGCAAGUCGAGCGGCAGCGGAAAGUAGCUUGCUACUUUGCCGGCGAGCGGCGGACGGGUGAGUAAUGUCUGGGAAACUGCCUGGUGGAGGGGGAUAACUACUGGAAACGGUAGCUAAUACCGCAUGACCUCGAAAGAGCAAAGUGGGGGAUCUUCGGACCUCACGCCAUCGGAUGUGCCCAGAUGGGAUUAGCUAGUAGGUGAGGUAAUGGCUCACCUAGGCGACGAUCCCUAGCUGGUCUGAGAGGAUGACCAGCCACACUGGAACUGAGACACGGUCCAGACUCCUACGGGAGGCAGCAGUGGGGAAUAUUGCACAAUGGGCGCAAGCCUGAUGCAGCCAUGCCGCGUGUGUGAAGAAGGCCUUAGGGUUGUAAAGCACUUUCAGCGAGGAGGAAGGCAUCAUACUUAAUACGUGUGGUGAUUGACGUUACUCGCAGAAGAAGCACCGGCUAACUCCGUGCCAGCAGCCGCGGUAAUACGGAGGGUGCAAGCGUUAAUCGGAAUUACUGGGCGUAAAGCGCACGCAGGCGGUUUGUUAAGUCAGAUGUGAAAUCCCCGCGCUUAACGUGGGAACUGCAUUUGAAACUGGCAAGCUAGAGUCUUGUAGAGGGGGGUAGAAUUCCAGGUGUAGCGGUGAAAUGCGUAGAGAUCUGGAGGAAUACCGGUGGCGAAGCGGCCCCCUGGACAAAGACUGACGCUCAGUGCGAAAGCGUGGGGAGCAAACAGG